rnacentral:rRNA from 1 species
UACAGAGGUCUCAAGCGUUGUUCGGAUUCAGUGGGCGUAAAGGGUGCGUAGGUGGCGGGGUAAGUCAGGUGUGAAAUCUCGAGGCUCAACCUCGAAACUGCACUUGAUACUGCCUUGCUAGAGUACUGGAGAGGAGAUUGGAAUUUACGGUGUAGCAGUGAAAUGCGUAGAUAUCGUAAGGAAGACCAGUGGCGAAGGCGAAUCUCUGGACAGUUACUGACACUGAGGCACGAAGGCCAGGGGAGCAAACGGG